rnacentral:rRNA from 1 species
CCUACGGGAGACAGCAGUAGGGAAUUUUCGUCAAUGGGCGCAAGCCUGAACGAGCAAUGCCGCGUGAACGAGGAAGGUCUUCGGAUCGUAAAGUUCUGUUGAAGGGGGAAAAGAGCGGAGAGAGGAAAUGCUUUCUGAUUGAUAUUACCCUUCGAGGAAGUCACGGCUAACUUCGUGCCAGCAGCCGCGGUAAUAAGUAGGGGGCGAGCGUUAUCCGGAAUGAGUGGGCGUAAAGGGUGCGUAGGCGGCCUGCUAAGUCUGGAGGGAAAGGUACCGGCUCAACCGGUAUAUGGUAGGGAAACUGGCGGGCAAGAGAGAAGAAGAGGGAGGUGGAACUCCAUGGGGAGCGGUAAAAUGCGU